rnacentral:rRNA from 1 species
CCUACGGGAGGCAGCAGUGGGGAAUAUUGCACAAUGGACGAGAGUCUGAACCAGCCAAGUAGCGUGAAGGAUGACUGCCCUAUGGGUUGUAAACUUCUUUUAUAUGGGAAUAAAAUGUUCCACGUGUGGGAUUUUGUAUGUACCAUAUGAAUAAGGAUCGGCUAACUCCGUGCCAGCAGCCGCGGUAAUACGGAGGAUCCGAGCGUUAUCCGGAUUUAUUGGGUUUAAAGGGAGCGUAGGUGGAUUGUUAAGUCAGUUGUGAAAGUUUGCGGCUCAACCGUAAAAUUGCAGUUGAAACUGGCAGUCUUGAGUACAGUAGAGGUGGGCGGAAUUCGUGGUGUAGCGGUGAAAUGCUUAGAUAUCACGAAGAACUCCGAUUGCGAAGGCAGUUCACUGGACUGCAACUGACACUGAGGCUCGAAAGUGUGGGUAUCAAACAGGAUUAGAUACCCUAGUAGUC